CUGGAUCUGAUUCCCCAAGCCGUGUGGAUCUGUCUAACUCAUGAACUUCUUCUCCAAGGUAGGUUUACUUUAUUAAAUAUGACUUAGUUCAUUAUAUGUGUUUUUACUCUAAACACACGUGUGUUGCAACAGUAGCAAAAACCGUUUCUCCGUUAUUCAGAUGGUACUACUUUAUAUGACAAGAUCGCUAGCUGCUCAUGCUAGCUAUAGUAGCUAUCAGUUGAGCUCUCGGGCUGUAACAUGUACAGACGAGAUCAGAAGCUCCCUCGUGUCCCCAAACCUCCACGAUACACGUAAGAAAGCUGUAUAUUGUUAACGUGUUUCCCGUUUAUGUCGGCGGGUUGUAUCUGUGAAACUAGCUCUGUUUAUCUAACUCUGCUGUGGUCUCACGGCGGCAAUUUACUUCCGGGUUGAGCUCGGCGAGAAAGAGCGGAUAUCACGAGCUGACUCGCGUCCCAAACCUCCGCGAUACACGUAAGAAAGCUGUGUGUUGUUAACGUGUUAAUCAUUUUAAUUCGGCGGGUUGUAUCUGAAACUAGCUCUGUUUACAUAACUGACGCUGUCUUCCGGCGGCAUUUGACUUCCGGUUUGUGAUCGGCGAAGAAGAGCGGAUAUAACGAGCUGACUCGCGUCCCAAACCUUCGUGUUACACGUGACACACAAUCAGGCUCCUGCUGUGGCAGUGGACACGGAGACGCCUUUAGACUGGACUACCUAUGAUGGAUGUGACCCAAAUAGAGCUACCGUCAGGAAGGCCACGGGUCCAGACGGCAUCAGCUCAAGGCUCCUCAAAUCCUGUGCAGACCAGCUGUGCGGGAUAGUGGAGCACGUCUUCAACUUGAGCUUGAGGCUGGGGAAAGUACCACAGCUGUGGAAGACCUCCUGUGUGGUACCAGUACCGAAGACCCCGCGGCCCAAGGACCUCAACAGCUUCAGGCCGGUGGCAUUAACAUCACACCUGAUGGAGAGGUUG